GGAAGUUCAGGGAGAAAAGAUAAGAAAAAGAAGUAUGCUUUAUUAUGAGGCAAUCUCUGUCAUUUUCUAUCUGUGCAGCCUCAGUGACGUGAGCACGAUGCAACUGAUCCAGAAGUGAAGGCACCGUUUUAGGGACUGGCCCUAAAAUCUGACAUGUGAUAUUCUAAACAUUGCCCCUUCUGCAGCACCCAGGGAGACCUCAUCUUGAGGAUGGGAGCGCUGUAAGAUGGAAGGAGCCCAGCUUCUCAACGACAACACAGAGUAGGACCACUUCCUCCCACACCAACCUCAUUGCACAGCGACCUGAGUAUGUUUGGAAACUAUGAGAAAGACCAAGAGUAAUACUUUCACGAAUCCCCAAUCCCUCCCUGUUUCAGCCUUGCUACCGAGUGACUGUUGAGGUUCACUUCCUGCUGUGAUUUUCCAAAGCACGGAGAACGGCACACAGGUUGGCUGCACCUCUUCUCCCCAUCUUACUAACAGCUGCUCAAAACGCGACCUGUGUAUUAUUAGGUUCUUCAGCAUCACAGCACAUGUCAGGACCUGACCUGGGACCCCCAUGGGAGAGAAUCUCUAAAUCACCACAGCGCCGGAGGUGGAAAAUAAGACAACAGCACAACAAUAACAAAAGAGAGGGGAGCGGGGACUACGGUGGUCCUGCCGGGUCCCGCUCGGGAGCAUCAUGGGGAGUGUCUCCUCAGCCUCGUUGGGGCCACUCUCAGCGAGUUGGUGGCUGAAGGGCAGGGAGGAUGAGUGUCAUCCCCGUCUGACUAGCGGGUGAAAGGCUCAGAGAGGUGAUCUGACUGCCACGAUGCCCCACUGCCCCGCAGAGCCUCUCCGGAUGGAGGCACAGGGGCACCACCGAGGACUCCCCAUCACCGCAGGCGCGGCUCCCUUUCAAGCGGCUGAGGCUGGAGGCUGAGGAGCACCUCAACACCGCCCCAGGCCAACUGCAAGAAGCAUGGCAGCAGAGCAGUUUAGGAAACCGGCUUUGGAUGCAGCCAGAACUGGGGGUGGGGCCUGCUCGGGUCACUUUCUAGGUGUAGUCCUUGACUAUGCUGCUUAACCUUACUCUUUGUGUCCUUAAAUAUCAGUAAUGGCUAAAAAACAUUUAGCGCAAUACUCUGGCUUACCGUAAGUGCCCGAACUACCGCGGCUUACCCGUGUAACAGGUCAUCCUUACAAGAGGUCAUGCUAGGGCCAUUGCAAGGUCUGCUGACAGGAGGAUCCCGAGAGCACUGUUCGGUCCGACUGGAGGUCUGUGAAAUAUCACAUUUCCUUAUGGCCCCAGCAUCUGCCAAAUGCUCUCAAAAGGCAGUGACUGAGUCCUCCUUGUGUCAGGUCAGAGCCUAGCUGGGCAAGGAGAGUUCUUCGGGGGUUCAGAUAAGAAGGGUGGGCGGGUUCCUGAAGGCAGAGAGGGAACCACUCUGGGCAUCUGCUGUCUUGCCUCCUUUCACACUCCUGUGGGUGUGAGGGAACAGCAGCCUUGUCCUCUGCACACAUCCUGCCAAGGGCAGGGGGGCACAGACGGCAGAACAGGCUCCUGAGAACCAGGGCUGCAGGGAUCUGACUGACACCUGCCAGUUACCCACUCUAGGCAGGGCCAUGCAUUUGCUCUCAGAGGCAGUGCAAAAAAUAACUAAGAAAACAAACAAAAACCAGUGUUUUUUAUCUUCAUCUCUGUAAGCUCUUUCUGGCCUAACUGCCAGAAAAGACUGGCCCUGAAGAUUUCAUUUAUUACUGUUUCUUACAGGGAAUAGAGUGAUUUCCACUGGAUCCCUAAGUAAGCUGAUGGGAGAAGGGGGAGUAAUAAAUUAUAAGCAUGUGCUUUGUGCUGAACACUAACAUGCAUCUUACUUCUGUAUCUUUAAUUUCAUUAAAUCUUGACAAACGGGGGCUAGCUCCUUCUUAGAGAGAAGGGAAGUGCAUUUAGAAAAUUACAUGGAUAAAAAGUGUUAGAGCCCAGAAUCUACCCCAGGUUUGUCUACUCUGGUCUCUUAACUGCCCUCAUCUCUCUAUUACAUCUCCAGAUGUAAGAGCGUGUGGCAUGUGGUCCUACCUUACCCAGAGACUGUUGGGUGCUUGCUGAUAGGACUCUUGGGCAAGGGCCCACACCCAGAGAGCCAGUGCCCGGCCUCAGAUUGUGGAGGAGGGGAGGGUGCACAUCUGUUAGUCUUUAGCAGCAUCACUGGGAAUCUGGCAAGGAGUCAGGAUGGAGCCAGUGUUCUUCCCUGUGUGUGACCUGUGGCCGGCAGCAGCCAGCAGCAGAGAAACACACUGACGUCCCGGGGAGGCCUCUGAUGAAUGACAGCGCUCUUCCCCGAUGGCUCCUCCUGCCCAGCCCAGCGUGGAAGGAGUGAGAUGUGAAUCACUAAAUACAGACCACAUUCAAGGGGUUGGAAUUGGCUACUUUCACUUUUGAUCCAAUGCAAAUCCAUUUUACACACUGGGGGAACUUGAAGAAAAAAAACAACAGAUCAAGCAACUCUCUUACCUAACACCUUUUAAUGGCUUCCUACUGUCUUCAAGAGAAAUUCUUACUCAUUUUGCAUCAUACACAUGGAGGCUGCUGUAGAAUCCCCUGGAGGGAAACUCCAGGAUGGCUCCAUUUUUGUUUCAGACCAGAGUAUGAGGAUUCUUGAAGCUAUAAGGGCCUUUCAACCUCACCUGAGAGAAUUCUUCAUCUCUACAGAUGGAAAAACAAGACUGAGAAGGGAAGAACUUUGGCUAAGUACUCACAAUGUUAGAACUGGAGCUAAACCUAUCCGGGCCUCAGAAAUUCAAGGAAUUCUCAAACAACAAACAAACAAACAAAUGGCCUCAAACAUUGACAGUAUUUAUCAAAAUUUUUCCCACCAGGUUGUUCUUCCAGAUUCCCACUCUCAUUCUCUCUCUUGCUUCCUUUAUUAUUCCUUAUUUAUUCCUAAUUCUUCAUCUUUGUUUCUUUUUCCAGAAACUUUUCUCAACCCCCUUGAAUUUAUCUUCAAAACCUAGCUUUGUGAAGUUCUGUGAAAUAAAUGGAAAGGAGAGAGUCUAGAGGAUUGAAUUAUUGAUCCCAAUUCUUCAUUCCUCUGUAACAGCAUGAGCCUUCCACACCCCUGCUAUGGCCUCAUGGUAGCCACUACAUGUUCCCAUCUGAGACUUCGGGCUGCUGACUUAUCAUCAACAAGACAUGACAUCUAUAUCCUGCUUCUGUCACUGCCAUGAGCACUUGGCCUGGGGGUCCACUGUCCCUUUAGCUUGGGCUGCAGAAUGAGACAGAAAGAGCAGACCUGACCCAGACCUGCAGGUGAAAGCUAAGCCCAGCAGAGCUCAACAGAGCCCAACUAAUGUCACAGGUGUGCCUGGAAAUCUCUGGAAACAGACUCUGCCUCAGAAAGGAAAGUGGUAUCUAACUAUACACUUGAAAUACCCACACUCUAAGAUAAAGUAGGUUUCAAUAUUUAUUCAGUCAGUCAUUAAUUAAGCCAUUCAACAAAUAAUCAUUGAGCACCAACUAUGACACUAUCCAAGCCUAAAGUUUAUUAACUUUCUGCAGCUACACGUCAAGAUUUGCCCAUGAAUGCAUUUUUCAGAGGGAUGUGUUUCUGGCUUUCUUCAACUACUCAAAUAGGUCCUUAACCCCAACCAAAUAAGUAAAGGCCCUUGGUUUAAGGGUUCACUUGGGAUUUGGUUUAUUUACCAUAAAAGGUCAAUACUGAAUAGUAGUAUUGCAUAACUGCUCACCUAUGAGUACAGAGUAAAG